AUUCCUGCAGCCCGGUUUAUGAUACACACACGCUCAGGGAUUGUACUUCCCAGAGAGGCUUCCGCCUGUGCUUGCUCCCGGAAUCUAUUAUCCAUCGUGCUUUUUUGUUGCACACGUCUUUAAAGUCCACCAGAAUCCAACGAAAUGGAGCCUCGAGGAAAAGAAGAGAUUUAGCCGCGAAGGAUUCUGGGAAUGCUGGGCUUACAGGGGCGCCGAUCUUCGCUGGCGCUAGGCGCUUGGUUUCCUCUCCGCAGCUCUCUGCGCACGGUACGCCUGUCCCUCGUUGGCCUUCCACUCAGGGCAAUCACCAGCCACUCUCAGGGUCCUCUUGAGCCGUACUAAAAGUUUGGGAAGACUAAAGGAAAUCAGAAGUCCCUCAGUCUGAACAGGACAGCCGUGAGUGGGUGGCCUGGGACCCUCAAAGUAUAAAAACCUAUCGGCCGGCGGGAACUGCUUCAGUCAUUUCAGGGGCAGUGUUUGAUCAGCACUUCUGCGGGAGGAGAUUCCUGAAUCCUGUGUUCCUUAAGGGCUUCCCUGCUGCAGGCUGGGGAUGUUUCAAUGGACUUUCCCUCGAGCCCUUUGGAAAUUACUUCUUAAGCAAUUUUUCGAUGAUCAGCUCCUUUUUAUAGGCAUUUUGUCGUUAAGGGGAGGGGACUGGGUUACCCAGGAAAUAAGUGAGUAUGGGGAUUCUAAGGCUCCUUUUCAUUUUGUCUUGUCUCUUUCCCUUUCAAUCACAGCCGGUGGCAUUUUUGCCAGUGUAAGUUUCUUAAUUUUGUGGGUCUUCCUAUGAAUCUUAAUGGGAUUGGCUCCAUCGGAGAAGCCACACUCACAAAUGUCUUUGAGCUAGCCCUUCUCUAUAUUGGGCAGCUGUAGUUUGGGGCUUACAGUUUUGUAAGAAGUCUGAAGUGGGUCUCACUGGGCUAAAAUCAAGGUGUCGACAGUGCUGCAUUCCUUCUGGAGGUUCCAGGGGAGAAUCUUUUCUUGCCUUUUCCAACUUCCAGAGGCUGCCUGCAUCCUUGACUCGCAGCCCCUUCUUCCAACUUCAAAGUAGCAACCUCAGCCAGAGUCCGUCCAUUGCUGCCCUCUGUAUGGUUCUCUCUCCUCCGCAGCCCUCUUCCACUUUUAAGGACCCUCAUGGUUAACACUGGGCUCACCCAGCUAAUUGAGGAGAAUCGUUAAGGCCAGCUGAUUAGCAACCUUAAUUCCAUUUGCAAUUUUAUUCCCUUUUGUCAUGUAACCUAACAUAUUCAGAGGUUCCGGGGAUUAGGACAUGUAUAUCUUUGGGGGGUGGUAUUCUGCUGACCACAGCAGGAUUAGAAAACCAGAUGGAAGUGAAUGGAUACCGGGAAUCUAGGAUCCAGCUGGCUGUCAGGCUGGCAGAGGUAUCCCAGACCUGUCAGCUCUCAGGAAAGCUGCAUCCAGAGUGCUUUUUGGAUCACUGGGGGAUACCUGGCCUCACUCUAGACUCACUGCCGUGGUCGUUUCAGAAUUGAAUCCGUGAUCAGGAAAUGUUCCCAGUGUUGCUAAUGUACUCCUCCCACACUUGAGAGUCCUGAAUCCCAUCUCCUGAGAAGAGGCGUUGGGCUCAAGUGGCUAGAGAGAAGUUUCUUGUCAGAGAAAUCUUGCUACCUUGAGGAGAGGAAGCAUAACUAGACUGGGAUGGAUAGGACACUUAGGGAAGAGGAAGUGUUUCAUAUCCCUGGGACCAGGAGGCCAGAAUGAGGCAAACUUGCCCCUCUGUCUGGCCUCCUGUGUUGAGGAGGCCUGAGGUGGCAGAAGGAAGAUGGGAGAAGGGCCCCCAAGAAAGCUCUGGCCAGCCUCAGGCUGUCCCCACCCCGCUGAUAUAGCGUAUGUGGAGAUAAGGGAGCACCCAGGAGCAAGUGUCACCCCUCCCCUUCCAACAGCAGCCAAAAGGGUCAUGACCCUGGCUGCCCUAACUUGGCCCUUGUGUGUCCUGAAGCACAGACACACUGCUUAGAAAGAUCAUCCUGGUCGCAGUGGCUCACGCCUGUAAUCACAGCACUUUGGGAGGCCGAGGUGGACAGAUCACGAGGUCAGGAGUUCAAGACCAGCCUGACCAACAUGGUGAAGCCCCGCCUCCACUAAAAAUACAAAAAUUAGCUGGGCGGGGUGGCACGCACCUGUAAUCCCAGCUACUCAGGGAGCUGGAGCAGGAGAAUCACUUGAACCCGGAGGCAAAGGUCGCAGUGAGCCGAGAUCGCACCACUGUAUUCCAGCCUGGGCGACAAAGCAAGACUCCAUCUCAAAAAAAAAAAAAAGAGAUUCUCCUUUGUCUUGCCUCUCAGCUGUCAUAAGCAAUCAGUGUCCUGUCCCCUUAAUAAUGUGGUGGUUCUCAAAGUGGGAUCCCCAGGCCAGCAGCAGCAGCAUCCCCCUUAAAAGUUGUUAGAAAAGCAAAUUCAGGGGUCCCACUCCACACCUAUAAAACAAAUUCUGGGGUCAGGGCUUAGCAGCCUUUGUUUUGACAAUCCUUGUAGUUGAUACGCUAUAAAGUUUGAAAAUCACUGACUCAGAGGAAAUGGCUUUGUGGAGAAAAUGAGCCAAGGCCGGGUGUGGUGGCUCACGCCUGUAAUUCCAGCACUUUGGAAUGCUGAGGCAGGUGCAUCACCUGAGGUCAGGAGUUUGAGACCAGCCUGGCCAACAUGGUGAAACCCCGUCUCGACUAAAAAUUAAAAAAAUAGCUGGGCAUGGUGGCACACACCUGUAAUCCCAGCUACUCAGGAGGCUGAGGUGGGACAAUCACUUGAACCCAGGAGGUGGAGGUUGCAGUGAGCUGAGAGCUCACUGGGAGACAAAGUGAGACUCCGUCUCAAAAAAACAAAAAAACAAAAAAAAAAAGAAAGAAAAUAAACGAGCCAUAGGAAAGGCCACAAGACAGCUACUUACUUCCACAAGCACAUGCUGCGGCUCCCUGCCUCUCCUUUUGCUCAGAGCCACACUGGCUCUUAAUGGCUUCAGAGGUCACACCAGCCUCCGUCCUGCCACACAACCUUUGCACUUGCGGGGCCAUGACCAGCAGCACUCAACACAGCUGGCCGCUUCUCAUGCAUGAUGUCUGAGCGUACGUCUCAGGAGGGGCCCUCACUUAGUACCCUGUACAGUAACAGCCCUUGCUGCUCCCAUGGUGACUUUUUAUUUCCUUUUAGCAUUUUCCACUGUUGAAUAAGUUCACAUAGAUUGGGUUUACUUUUUUUUUUUUCUUAAUUUAGACACAGUGUCUUGCUCUGUCACCCAGGCUGGAGUGCAGUGGCACACCACUCAUAUAGCUCACUGCAACCUUGGACUUCUGAGCUUAAGCAGUCCUCCCACCUCAGCCUUCUGAGUAGCUGGGAUUCCAGGUCUGCACCACCACACCUGGCUAAUUUUAUUAUUUAUUUAUUUAUUUAUUUUUUAGACAGAGUUUCGCUCUUGUUGCCCAGGCUGGAGCACAAUGGCACGAUCUUGGCUCGCCACAACCUCCGCCUCCUGGGUUCAAGCGAUUCUCCUGCCUCAUCCUCCCAAGUAGCUGGGAUUACAGGCAUGCGCCACCAUGCCAGGCUAAUUUUUUGUACUUUUAGUAGAGACAGAGUUUCUCCAUGUUGGUCAGGCUGGUCUUGAACUCCCGACCUCAGGUCAUCGGCCCGCCUUGGCCUCCCAAAAUGCUGGGAUUACAGGCAUAAACUACUGUACCUGGCCUAUACAUACACACACACACACACACACACAUAUGUGUAUAUAUAGAUAUAUAUGUGUAUAUAUGUAUAUAUAUGUGUGUGUGUGUGUGUGUGUAUAUAUAUAUAUAUAUUUUUUUUUUUUUUUGAGAUGGAGUCUCACUCUGAUGCCUAGGCUGGAGUGCAGUGGCGGGAUCUCGGCUCACUGCAAUCUCCGCCUCCCGGGUUCAAGCGAUUUUCCUGUCUCAGCCUCCCAAGUAGCUGGGAUUACAGACACGCACCACCAUACCCGGCUAGUUUUUGUAUUUUUAGUAGAGACGGGGUUUUACCAUGUUGGCUAGGCUGGUCUCGAACUCCUGACCUCAGGUGAUCUGCCCACCUCGGCCUCCCAAAGUGCUGGGAUUAUAGGCGUGAGCCACCACGCCAGGCCAGACCUGGCUAAUUAAAAAAAAAAAAAUACUCCCAAAGCACUGGGCUGACAGGUGUGACCUGUUUAAUUCUUUUGUUUGUUUCUUUACUUCUUAUUGUCUGCCUCUCUUCAGAAGCUAAUUCCCAUUAGAGCAGGUGCUGUAUUCUUUGCCACCACCAUAUCACCAGUGUCUACAACUGCCUGACACACAGUAGGUAGUCAGAUGCUGAAAGAGUGAAUGAAUGAUGUUCCCCCAGGGCAGGCACGGGUUCUCCAAGUGCCUGUUUCAACACUCCUCCCAUGCCACCACCCCUAGACCCAAGCUUGGCAUUCCUUUUUUCCUGAGUGAUCAGGAAGGCACAGCCACUGUCCCCGGCCUAGUGUGUGAUGUCUGUAGCUAAGAAAAAGGCUCCGUCCUUGCCUCAGCUCUGAGGGGUGGGGCCUCAGAGAUAAGGAGGACCCUACCCUUGUGUUGCUGGCCCUUCUUUUCAGCAUGUCAGACGAAUUUGUAAUUUCAACCCCAGCCUUUCCCUGCCCCAGCCAUAGUUGCUAAGGCAACAAUUGGGCCUCAAUUUCCUGAUGACCAGAGUCCACCAAUGGCUGCCAUCAUCCUGUUAUCUCCUGGUCAGCUAUUUGUGGCACCAUCUCAGCAGUGCCCCAGUCCGGCCAACGCAGAGGAAGUCACCAAGGAGGCUGGGAGGAGGAGCCUCAAGUUUUGCAGAAACUAUACACGGCAUCUGCUGUGUCACACCUCAUAUGUGCUGUUCCCUUCCUUUGGGUGCCUCUCUUGUCUCCUGGCCUGCUCUUCUGUCAUCAAGGCUGGGCUCGAAGCCUUCUCUGGGAAGCCCUAUGCGCAUAACGAUCCCUUCUGUGCAAGCCUGCAGAGCCUUUCCUGUCUCACUGCUCAGUGACUGACCUGCCCUAAGUCCUUUUCUCCUAGAUUUGCUCCCCAAAGACCAAGGAGGGUCUGGGUCAUUUCAUCUGGUGUCAAGCAAGGUGUGCCUCGGUCUCCCAGUGAGAGACCGUGCAUAGCAGGUGUUCCAACAGUGGGACUUCUGACACAUCGACAAUCCUAAUGACCCAGGGACUGAGACCGAUCAUCUUGUGGGUGGUCAGGACAGCAGGACUGAAGCGGUGACUUAGUUACAGCAGAGGAAGCCAGGCCAGACCCUACCGGGUGUCCCCCCUAACACAGGGUCCCAUGUGAGGUUGCAGCUCCCAUGCCACCACCCCCAGUGUCCUUGAGGGCGAGUUGGGUUGCCCUUCUGGAGGCCAUUAGUGCUUGUCACAGCAGCGUGUUGGGAGAUGGAGUCUGAGGGCCGUGAUCUGUGCUCCCUCUGGGAGUGUGGUCUGGAAGGGACAGAGGAAAGAGGAGCAGAAGGAGCCAGAAACCAAGCAGGCGCGGUGGCUCAUGUCUGGAAUCCCAGCACUUUGGGAGGCCGAGACAGGCGGAUCACCUGAGGUCAGGAGUUUGAGACGAGCCUGGCCAACAUGGUGAAACCCGUCUCUACUAAAAAUACAAAAAAUUAGCUGGGCGUUGUGGUGCACGCCUGUAAUCCCAGCUACUCAGUUGGCUGAGGUAGGAGAAUCGCUUGAACCAUGGAAGCGGACAUUGCAGUGAGCCGAGAUCACGCCACUACACUCCAGCCUGGGCGACAGAGUGAUACUCUGUCUCAAAAACAAUCAAACAAACAAAAGAAACCAAGCAGAAGCAGGUUUCAACCCCUUCGGCUGAUCCUGCCUUGUCCAGCAGGCUGAAUGAGCUUUGGAGUCAUAAUCAAUCACUUUCACUCUGUUGGGGACCAGAGGCAGUGUCAUCCUGCCCAGGCCACAAGGCAGCGGCAGAGAGCGUCACACCUCAGCUGGUGCGAUUCUGCGUGCAGCCCCAGGCUCAGUAGGUGCCAACCCCAAUGGCCACUACAGGGUUGCUGGCUUAGCCCUGGGAUCCCGCACACGCCCACCGUGAGGUAGCCUAGUGUGUCUUGCUCCAGCUGAUGCACUUCCACCCCUGGUCCCCGGGGGGCAUCAGGGACAAGUCUCUCUGGUUUGCAGAAGCCAAGUUACUCUGGGGCAGGAGCUGGGAUGGUGUAAGGGGGUAGUGGGCGUCCGUGGGCCGUGCAGAUUUCGGCCCUGGGCUGGGUAAAGCAAGCUUAUGCUGCACCUGUCCCCUGGGGCUGUUCUAUCCAGUGCUCCUCUCCAUAAUCCUUUACUGAUGGCGCCAGGCUGGGCUUCUGGGGCCCCUACAGGAUGGUCAAUGGGGGCUGGCUCUGGGUCCGCGAAGCAUUCUGUGCUCUGAUGGGAAGACUUAAAGGGAAACAAAGGGACCUCUGAAGAGUAUGAAUCACAUUAUUGGCACGGGUAAGUGGGUACUGGUAGCAACAGCAGGUGGUGUGGGUGGGGGUUGCCAAGAGGGCGAGGUAGGAAAUAGAAUAUAAGGAGAAAAAUGAUUGAAGAUCUCAAAUGUCCCUUUAUGAACCCCCCCCAGGGCCUCCCACCCGCCUAGCACAGCUCCCCACCUUCACCACGCCCCCUGCCCCACCCUCACUCGCACCAGUAACAACAGCGACCAUUGCCGGAGCACUCACUCUGUCCCGUCCCCAGGUUCAGGUGCUUUACAUAAUUCUUGCCUUUCAUCCUCACAACUCCAUGAGGGAGGUAGUGCCAUGACGCCCAUUUGACAGAUGAAGAAACAGGCCGAGAGGGGUCAGGUGACUUGUCCACAUCACAUAGGCAGGGAGUGGAACAACCAGAGUUGGAACUAAGCACACUCUUACCCUCCAUGCAGACUCCAGCAGAGAGCAAAGGAGAGAGGCUGAGGAAGAGUUUGAAGCCACAGUGACAUGUUCCUUGCCCACAUGUUUACCAUCUAUCUUGUAGCCUGGGGGCUGACACAUCAUCCUGCCUUCCCUCUUUUUUUUACAAGCCCUGCUUUGCAGAGGCUGGAGAACAGCCAAGCCAGAGCUGGGAGCAGCCUCUGGCCUGAAGCCCCAGUUGGAGAACUCAUCCAGGACAAAGACCAGUCUUCUGCGAGGUGGAUGAGAGUGGGUGUCCCGAGCAGAGGCUGUAGUUUAGGGAGGUUAGGCUGCUUGCUCAAGCCCUGUGUGGCCUGAGGUAUCAAGCAAAACAGCUGUCCCAGUCAUUAGACACCUAAUGUGUGCAUGAACCUGUCUCGGGUCCUCUUCCUUGGUCCAUGGUGUGGACUCCCUGAUAACUGAUUUGGAGAUGAGGGAAUAGGUCCCUUUCAGACACAGCCCAUGUGUAACCUUCUGGGGUGUAAUAGCUUUGACAAUGUACACCCCUUGGCCAGCAAUGACACCUCUAAUGCUCUAAUGUUCCCUCCUAUGGAAGUUUCUGUUCAGUUAGGCACAGGUUUCUUUUUUUUUUUUUUUUUUUUUUUGUUUGAGACAGAGUCUUGCUCUGUCAACAGGAUGGAGUGCAAUGGUGUGAUCUUGGCUCACUGCAAUCUCCACCUCCCUGGUUCAAGUGAUUCUCCUACCUCAGCCUCCCCAGUAGCUGGGAUUACAGCCACGCACCACCACUCCCAGCUAAUUUUUUGUUUUUUGUAGAGACAGGGUUUCACCAUGUUGGCCAGGAUGGUCUCAAUCUCUUGACUUCGUGAUCUGCCUGCCUCGGCCUCCCAAAGUGCUGGGAUUACAGGCAUGAGCCACCACGCCCGGCUGGCACAGGUCUAUCUCUAGUUCUACCAUCUCUAUCUCCAACUCCAUCAUCUCCCUUUUCCCCACCAUCACCAUCACCUCUGUCUCCAUCUCCAUCACUCAUCUCCAUCAUCUCUCUUCUGUGCCAUUGCUCUCCCCUCUCUCCUCUUUGAUGCUGCUAUUGUCUCUCUCAUCUCCCUCUAAAUUUAUAUCUAUAUAAUAGCAAAAUUAGCAAUAAGCAGAAAACUGGAAACAACGUAAAUGUGGAGCAAUUGGAGUUAAGUUCUGAUGUAUUUAAUAUGGGGUUGACUUCAGUUCUGAUAUAUUUAUAUGAUGAAAUAACCCUACAUUCAACAUAUUUGAGUACCUGUCUUUGCCAGGCACCACGACUCCAAAGGCAAACAAUACUAAGUAAUUAUUAAAAUGAUGCAAAAAGUUUAGUUCAGGAUGGUGAAUUAAACUUACACAUUUACCUCCUUUUCUCCUUUGCCAAAUCCCACUGAAAUGACAUUGGAGAUGUACAGAAAUGAACACAUCCAUAACAGAGCAUAGAAUAGGUAGAGAGGUGGGGGAGGGGGAAGGCUUAUACCAGCUACUGCAGUUAAGCUGCCUAGUUCUUUAUUCCUAAAUAUGGACAACCAAAGCUCACCAGAUAUUUGAGAUAAACCAGCAGCAUAAAAGAGAUGGCCCAACAUAAACAAGCAGAUCAACUGAUCCCAGAGGAAGUCAGAGAACAGAAGACAACUUUGAAAAAGCGUGUAAGUAGCUAUAUUCCUCACAGUGAAUGCCAGGUUUGGUGUGGUGGAGGAUGUGAGCAGCUGGAACUCCCCUACACUGCUGGUGGGAAUGCAAAAUGGUGCAGCCACUUUGGAAAACAGUUUGGCAGCUUCUUAAACAUAAGACAUGACCCAGCGAGUCCACUCCACAGAAAGACUUGUAUGUAACUGUUUAUAGUGGCUUUAUUCAUAUAGCCCCAAGUUGGAAAUAGCUGCACUACCAUGCUGUUACGUAGGCUGAAAGAGGUUUCCUCACUACACUAGGGUCCUCCAUCAUUAAUGCUUCUUUAAUAAAAACUCUUCUCAAGGCUGCUUUACUUCCAAAGGAAGCUGGAGUCAUUCACUGCAAAGGCCAUCAAAAGGCCCCACACUCCAUUGCUCAAGGCAACAAUUAUGCUGAUAAGACAGAAAAAGCAGCAGCCACUAUUCCUACUUCUGUCCCUCAUGGCCAGUUUUUCUCCUCAUCAGUCACGCCUACUUACUCUCGCACUGAAGUUUCCACCUAUCAAUCCCUCCCCACUGAAGGCAAAUGGUUCUUAGACCAAGGAAAUACCUCCUUUCACCCUCACAGGCUCAUUCCAUUCUGUCAUCUUUUCGUAACCUCUUCCAUGUAGGUUACAAGCCACUAGCCAGCCUCAUAGAACCUCUCAUUUCCUUUAAGACAUUUACCCUGCAUUUCACUCCAUCCUUGGCUACCUUCCCCCUGUAAGCCAGAGCGGGUGUGAGGAGGGGAGAUGAUAGAAGGAUUAUAGGGUUGGGGAGCGGAGGCUGAGGAAGAAUUGGGACGUGGCUCAGCCUGGCGAGGAGCAGCCUGGGGAGGAAGGAAGAGGUCAGAUGGGUCCGUAGAAAAGGAGGAUUCAAAGGACUUAGAGCUUGGGGUGGAGACUGAAGGAACAGACAGGAGAGAAGAAAUAUUUAGGACGAGUCACAUUGGGAGCAGAGACUAGGGAGGGACAAAUGUGUAAAAGAAUGCCUGGAUGUCAGGCACCUCAGACUAUGCCCAUUUUAUGACAAAAAUUAUCUAGAUCUUGUAGGAUGGAGAAAUUGAAAGCACUGUUUUCUGGCUAUUUAGAACCAUUAUCAAGGUUUGUAUUGGAGCCAAAUGGUGUUGCAGAAGAAAAUAAGACACUUAGGUUUUAGGUCAGGCGAAAGUUGAAGAGGUUUUACGUUUUUGAGAACACAGGUUAAGGGAGAAGAAGGGGGAAUAGAGGGUGGAAGGUUGCCCAUAGUGAAGGAGGCAAGCCCAGAGAAAAGAGAGGGUAGAGACACAGAGGUGGGGGCGGGCACUUGCCACCCAGGGGAGGUGGUACUUGCCACCCCGGUGGGGGGGGGGGUGGUACUUGCCACCAAGGUGAAGGAUCAAGGCAGGCGUCCCCAUGGUAAUCAGACACCUCUAGAAUGUGGGUGAAUGAUCAGGCAGGCAUCCCCGCAGUGAUUAAACACCAAGGGAAGACUUGUCUUCCCAAGUCCAUGACGGGCGCCGGCAUUUUUGGUUCACAGAUAAAACGUGUCUCGGGCCGGGCGCGGUGGCUCACGCCUGUAAUCCCAGCACUUUGGGAGGCCGAGGCAGGUGGAUCAUGAGGUCAGGAGAUCGAGACCAUCCUGGCUAACACAGUGAAACCCCGUCUCUACUAAAAAUACAAAAAAAAAAAUUAGCCGGACAUGGUGGCGGGCGCCUGUAGUCCCAGCUACUCGGGAGGCUGAGGCAGGAGAAUGGCGGGAACCCAGGAGGUGGAGCUUGCAGUGAGCCAAGAUGGCACCACUGCACUCCAGCCUGGGUGACAGAGCAAAACUCUCUCAAAAAAAAAAAAAAAAAAAAAAAAAGCGUCUCCUCUGUUUCUACUGGAAAAGGAAAGGAACUGAAAUUAAGGGAAGGGAGAGACUGAAGGGUGGCGCCGAAAUUGAAAGGAGAAAGAGGUUGAGGGAUAAUGAGAGAGGUUGGAGAAGAGUAAAAAGAGGCCGCUUACCCGAUUUAAAAUUGGUGAGGUGUUUCUUGGUCUGGUCUGAGGACCCGAGCUUGUGGGUGGAUUUUUCUCAUGGAGCAAAGAGCAGGAGGACAGGGGAUUGAUCUCCCAAGGGAGGUCCCCCGAUCCGAGUCACGGCACCAAAUGUCAUGCGUGUCCGUGUGAAGAGACCACCAACAGGCUUUGUGUGAGCAAUAAAGCUUUUUAAUCACCUGGGUGCAGGCAGGCUGAGUCCAUAAAAGGAGUCAGCAAAGGGAGAUGGGGUGGGGCACUUUUAUGGGAUUUGGGUGGGCAGUGGAAAAUUAUAGUCAAAGGGGGUCGUUCUCUUACGGGCAGGGGUAGGGGUCACAAGGUGCUCAGUGAAGGAACUUCUGAGCCAGGAGAAGGAAUUUCACAAGGUAAUGUCAUCAGUUAAGGCAGAAACUGGCCAUUUUUCACUUCUUUUGUGAUUCUUCAGGCUAUCUGGAUGUAUACGUGCAGGCUUGGGCUCAGAGGCCUGACAGUUACAUGACUGUAUACAUUUGUCAUAAGUCAUUAAAUUUUAUACUUACAAUUAUUGAAUUUUACUUAAGUAAAUAAUGCCUCAAUCAAAGCUGGUUUUUUUUGUUUUUUGUUUCUUUUGGAGACAGAGUCAUGCUCUGUCACCCAGGCUGGAGUACAGUGGUGUGAUCUCAGCUCACUACAACCUCCUCCUUCCAGGUUCAAGCAAUUCUCCUGCCUCAGCCUCCCAAAUAGCUGGAAUUAGAGGCAUGCACCACCACGCCUGGCUAAUUUUUGUAUUUUUAGUAGAGACAAGGAUUUGCCAUGUUGGCCAGGCUGGUCUCGAACUCCUGACCUCAAAUGAUCCGCCCACGUUGGCCUCCCAAAGUGUUGGGAUUUCAGGUGUGAGCCACUGUGCCCAGCCUAAAGCUGAUAUUUAAAAAGUGAAAAUAUGUAUCCUUAGAGAAAUUCAAACAGGCAAGCCAUUAAAAAGAAGAGCACAGGAUGCUACGAAAAAGGCACAGGUUUAGAAGACACCAAGGAAACCAGGAAAAUUAAAAAAAUAAUAAUAAAUAAAAUAAAAAGGCACAGGGAAUAAGACAAUAUUAGAAAUUACUGCCAAAACAGAGUGGCGAUUUUCAUGUCAGACAGGGUCAGACCUCAGAACAAGGGGCAGUACCAGGGAUAAAGAGGACCAUUUCCUAAAGAUAAAGGAUGGAGCAGUCAGGAGAACGGUACAAUCCUAAAUGCACAGGUGCCUAAGAGCAGAGCUCCAAAGUGCCAGACAAAGGCCAACGAACUACAGAGCUGGACAAUACACAUGCAGAGGUGAGAUUCCAACACCCUCUCUCAGUAAUCGACAGAAUCAGUGGACAGAAAACCUGGAUUUAGAAGACAUGAUAGUUAAUUUUAUGUGUCAACCUGACAGGUCAAAUAUUAUUCUGUAAAGGUGUUUUGGAUGAAAUUAACAUUUGAAUCAGUAGACUGAGUGAAGCGGAUUGCCCCCCUCAAUGUAGGUGAGCCUCAUCCAAUCCAUGAAGGCCUGAGUAGAACGAAAGUAAGGGGAAACGCUUCCUGACUCUCUUGAGUGGGGAUGACUGACAGUCUUUUCCUGCCUUCAGACUUGAACUGCAAUAUUGGUUCUUCCUGUAUCUCCAGCCUGCUGGCCUUUGGAUUGGAACUGCACCAUCAGCUCUCCUGGGCCUCCAGCUGCUAACUCACCCUGCAGAUCUUGUGACCUCAGCCUUCAUAAUCAUGUGAACUGAUUUCUUCUCUUUUUUUUUUUUUUUUUUUUUUUGAGACGGAGUCUCUGUUGCCCAGGCUGGAGUGCAGUGGUGCGAUCUCGGCUCACUGCAGCCUCUGCCUCCCAGGUUCAAGUAAUUCUCCUGCCUCCCAAGUGGCUGGGAUUACAGGAGUAUGCCACCAUGCCCAGCUAAUUUUUUUGUAUUUUUAGUAGAGACAGGGUUUCAUCAUGUUGGCCAUGCUGGUCUCGAACUCCUGACCUCAAGUGGUCUGCCUGCCUUGGCCUCCCAAAGUGCUGGGGUUACAGGCGUGAGCCACCGUGCUUGGCCAUCAUGUGAACUGAUUUCUUAUUUCUCUCUCUAUGUAUCUCUCUCUACAUACACAUACAUCCCCCCCCCACACACACACACACCAUUAGUUUAAUCUCUGGAGAACCCUGAUUAAUACAGAAGACAUGAAGCAGACUAUUAAACAACUUGACCUAAGUGACAUUUAUAGAACACUCCGCCCAGCAACAGCACAGUACAUAUUCUUUUCAAUUGCACAUGGAACAUUCACCAAGAUAGGUCUCAAUACAUUUAAAAGGAUCAAAAUUAUGUUAAACAUGAUUAACAAAACAGAACAUUUUGUAGAAGAGCUAGAGGAUUAAGUAAAAAAAAAAUUCCUAGAAUACGAAGACACUAAAAGAGUAUAUAAGUGAAAAAUUGAGGGAGGAUACUGUGCCAGGAAGUACAGUGUCUACUAGAAGUUUCAGAAAGAGGAAACAGAGAAAAUCAGGGGCUGGGAUGUGAGAAUGAAGAAGUAAAAGAAGAACAAGUUCCCAGAAGAAAGUAUCGAGAUUCAAAAUCUCAUGGUAUCAGAGGCGUUUGAACCAGAGCAACUUCAUCUUGAGUAGGGGCGGGGUAAAAUGAGGCUGAGACCUACUGGGCUGCACUGCCAAUGCCAAUGGUGAAGGCAUUCUAAGUAAUAGGAUGAGAUAGGAGGUCAUCACAAGAUACAGGUUGUAAAGACCUUGCUGAUAAAACAGGUUGCGGUAAAGAAGGCAGCCCAAAACCCACCAAAACCAAGAUGGCAACCAGAGUGAUCUUGGUCGUCCUCACUGCCACACUCCUGCCAGCGCCAUGACAGGUUACAGAUGCCAUGGCAAUGCCAGGAAGUUACUUAAUAUGGUCUAAAAAAGGGUGGCAUGAAUAAUCCGCCUCUUGUUUAGCAUAUAAUCAAGAAAUAACCAUAAAAAUGGGCAACCAGCAGCGCUCGGGGCUGCUCUAUGGAGCAGCUUUUCUUUAGUCCUUUACUUUGCUAAUAAACUUGCUUUCACUUUACUGUAUGGACUCGCCCUGUCUCUACAAAAAAGAAAGAAAAAAAAAGUGACAGUAAAAUAAAGGCUUUUUAGGCAUGCAGAAACUCGCUCCCUCUGUACCUGUCCUGAAAAAAUGACUGAUAUCAGACAUGGUAGCCCUGUGAAGGUGUAGCCCUGCAAAUUGAAAUGGAAUCCAAGAGGCCGGGCGCGGUGGUUCAUGCCUGUAAUCCCAGCACUUUGGGAGGCUGAGGUGGGCGGAUCACUUGAGGUCAAGAGUUCAAGACCAGCCUGGCCAACAUGGUGAAACCCCGUCUCUACUAAAAAUACAAGAAGUUAGCCUGGCAUGGUGGCGGGUGCCUGUAAUGCCAGCUACUCGGGAGGCUGAGGCAGGAGAAUCACUUGAACCCAGGAGGCGGAGGUUGCAGUGAGCCGAGAUCGAGCCAUUGCACUCCAGCCUGGGGAACAAGAGCGAAACCCCGUCUCAAAAAAAAAAAAAAAAAGAAAGAAAAAAGAAAUGGAAUCCAAGGAGCAAGGUGUGGAACCCAAGAAGCAGAGAAAUUAACCCAGGAAUCAAUGAAACGAAAACAGCUUUGCCGCAGGUCCCCCAAAACAAGAGGUCAGAAGGAGAAAAAAAUGGAUUCCAUGCAACAGCUAGCAUUAUUACAAAGGGGAAAGACCUCAGUCAUAUGGUGAAGAAAAUGACACGUUUCUUAAGAAGGAAAAACAACAACAACAAAACUCCAGGUAAAAAAGAAAUCUAAUAUUAUCAUGUCCUAAAUAAGGUACAAACUCAAAUCUGGCAUUAUUUUAAUUAACUGAUGUAGUAUAAGAGAAAAUCCAUUUUAUAUUGCUGCUUAGAAUAUUCCUUUUUGAGUAACACAGGCUGACUGACAUAGGAUUAUGUCUUUAAGUCCAUUUCAUUAGGUUUACAGUAACGAUGUUUAUAUAACCAUAAUGUUGUGAAUACUUCCUCCCCGAACUCAUAAGCUCUGGGUUUUAUAUAUUACUAACCUAAAGCCAUGUAUCAGUGGCUUUGCUUGAGCAAAGGAUCAUUUGGACCCAGAAAGCUUAUUUUCAAGGCAGCUUUCAAAAAGUCAAGUGGCAGGGCAGCACUGUUCACAUUUUGAUGUGCACCUCCCCAUCAUCUCCC
rnacentral:lncRNA from 1 species